CAACACUAAAUUGUCAAUCAAUGUGUAAUUGGUAGAUUUGCCGACAUUAAGCGCGGCAACACAGGCAUUUGCUGUUUGACGGACGAGCGUGUCGCGAUUGUUUUAUUUAUCGCAAAACAAUAUUUUGGCGAUUCAAAAAUUUUCCUUGGAAACCAGUGUAAAAAACCUUCAAAAUGGCUCUCGGCGGUGGAAUGUCAUGUGUGAAGUACCUUCUCUUCUGUUUCAACCUUUUGUUUGCGAUCACGGGCCUGAUCAUCCUGAUCGUGGGCAUCAAGGCCGAAGUGAAGGCUCACCCGUACAUCGACCUGACGGAUGAAGCGUUCUACACGUCCGCGCCCAUGGUGCUGAUCAUCAUCGGCGUGAUCGUCUUCAUCGUCGCCUUCUUCGGCUGCUGCGGCGCUGUUAAGGAGAACCACUGCAUGAUCGUCACGUUCUCAGCGUUCCUGCUGAUCAUCUUCGUGGCGGAGUUAGCUGUGGGCAUCGCAGGCUACCUGAAGCGGGACGACCUAGAAGCGUCGGUGGUGCGCCACCUCAACGAGACCAUCUCCAAGUACCCCACCGACAAGGACGUCCAGAAUACCUUCGACAUUCUGCAGACUGACUUGAACUGCUGCGGCAUCAACAACGCCUCGGACUGGCCCAACAACAACAUCCCGUACCCCGCGUCCUGCUGCACUGGCCACGAGAUCACCACGGGCGGAGUGCCGGUGGCCUGCAACACCAACGAGCCUACCUUCCACCACGACGCUUGCUUGCCGAAGCUGGUCAACUUCUUGAAAGACAUCGCGCUGUGGCUCGGAGGCGUCGGCUUGGGCAUUGCUAUUGUUCAGUUGCUGGGUGUGAUAUUCGCCUGCUGCCUGGCUCGCUCCAUCCGCAGUCAGUACGAGACCGUCUAAGAGGAUCCGAGCACUCCCCCUCUUACCUAACUGCGGGUUUCAACACUCCAUAUCUAUUCACCAUUGUGAUAAGUUCUUAUAAGUUUACAGUGGUGCUAAUUCCUGUAAAUAC
rnacentral:misc_RNA from 1 species